GGGUGCCAUCAUACCAGUGUUAAUGCACCGGAUCCCAUCGGAACUCUGCAGUUAAGCGCACUUGGGCUAGAGUAGUAUUGGGAUGGGUGACCUCCCGGGAAGUCCUAGUAUUGCACCCU
rnacentral:rRNA from 1 species